UUGCGAACUGCGAGUGUCUAGCAGGACAGUGUGCUUUCCUUAACACUUAUUAGUGGUCAAGGUGGAGUGGACCUGCACAAGCCCGAGCGAAGCCCGAUCCCUACGUCCCCAGCAGUACGAUGACUGGAUGGGCUUGAAGGAGCCCUUCUAGGGUUGGGGUUGAAACCCAGGUUUUGUCGCUGCACUAAUAUGGGGUCGUCCAGCGUUGAUUCCUCAGGUACCGUUAUUUCCCGCAGUAACUGACUGGUCACUGGUUCCGUUAUGACGCCCGCAGGACCUGGCUUGUCGGCGGACUCUCGCAAGGCCAAGAUAUGUUAUUAACCCCUUCAGUACUAGGACGCAUUUUUACCUUGAGAUUUGUGUACGAUUAGAUUAUUUCAUUGACAUUAGGAAAGUUCUAUGGAGGUCAGAAGGUUAAUGGCCACAGUCUUCACUAUUUUAAUCCCCCACCUAAGUUUCUGAAGCUGUAUGAAAUCACCCAACAGCAAACUGAAUGAAAAGGAAACGCGUCAUGGUACUGAAGGGUUAUCUUGGUAAAAACAAAGACAUGUUGGUGUUAUGUGUGUGUUUGUAUGCUUUCCCGCUCUCAAUUAUAAGAUUACUGGAUUUUAGA